GGGUUCUGUCUGUGUGAAGCUCAGCCCACUGUCUCCUCUAUAUAAGAGCUCAGGACUGUCCUCUCAGCUGAAGUGCACUGGAGGAGAAUCAGCAUUCUGGCUCUUCAUGCUGUUAGAGAUACAACAAUGUUCAUGCACUUAAACCUUGUAUUCUUGCUCGGAUAUGCCAAUUUUGUGAGUGGUGACAUCCAGCUAAACCAGUCAGGUCCAGAAGUGAAGAAGCCAGGAGAGUCUGUGAAGCUGUCCUGUACAGUCUCUGGGUUUUCCCUGAGCAGUAAUUAUAUGGCCUGGAUUCGUCAGGCUCCUGGGAAAGGGCUGGAGUGGAUUGGAGACACUGGCUCAAACUAUGCCCCAUCUUUUCAAGGAAGAUUCACCAUCUCUGAAGAUGUUUCCAGUGAGACAACAUACUUACAAAGCAGCAGUCUGAAGGCUGAAGACACUGCUGUGUAUUACUGUGCUCGUAUAGUCACAGUGAUUCAUACUGCCACAGACGUAAUACAAAUACUGUUUCCUCUGGGGGCUGGUGCAGAACUUGAAUUAAUAAAUGGUGAAAAGGAGCUUAA